AGGGGUGUUUGAACACCAAGAACUG
rnacentral:tRNA from 1 species